rnacentral:rRNA from 1 species
AUUGAACGCUGGCGGCAGGCCUAACACAUGCAAGUCGAACGAGUGGCGGACGGGUGAGUAAUGCUUGGGAAUCUAGCUUAUGGAGGGGGAUAACUACGGGAAACUGUAGCUAAUACCGCGUACCAUCGGAUGUGCCCAAGUGGGAUUAGCUAGUUGGUGAGGUAAAGGCUCACCAAGCCGACGAUCCCUAGCUGUUCUGCGAGGAUGACCAGCCACACUGGGACUGAGACACGGUCCAGACUCCGACGGGAGGCAGCAGUGGGGAAUAUUGCGCAAUGGGCGCAAGCCUGAAGCAGCCAUGCCGCGUGAAUGAAGAAGGCCUUCGGGUUGUAAAGUUCUUUCGGUAGCGAGGCGUUAACUACAGAGGAAGCACCGGCUAACUCCGUGCCAGCGGCCGCGGUAAUUC